rnacentral:lncRNA from 1 species
UUAAAUAACUUGCUUCCUUGUAGCAGGGUCAGGAUUCAAACCUAGGUCAGCCCAAGUCCAAAGUCUGUGUGCUGAACCAUGAGGCCAACAGGAACGGGAAGUGCAAAGGAACAUUGCUAUGAUCAGCUUGUGCAGGGUACGUACUUAUGUCACGUUGAGGUGAUCAGUUCCCAGUAUCUCCAGAAAGAGAGCCCAGCUCCCACCCUAAAGCUGUGCUGCAUCUGCCCUUCCCUUGGUCCCGGACUCCCCCAGCCAAGGCUUUGGUGUUGAGUCUCCAUCCUACAGGGACUUCAGGAAUGGGCAGGCAGGAGCUCUGUAAGGCAGGAGGAAGCUGAUAAUCCUCUCUGGAAACCUAAAUCUUACCCGAGGGAGAAAAAUAAAUAGUCUCUAACAAAGAAGUGGGAAAGAAAGACAAAGGCACAAUGGUCCUUGACAACUGGGUCGGAGAAUGCAUUGUUGCCAGGGCAACAGCAGAGGAGGUAGGGUAUCAAACAGUGGAAAUCACUGUCUAUAUCACCUGUGUUGAGAAUCGCUGCUCUAAAGUGUAAUGGUGUAUUAAUCGGGGUUCUCUAGAGGGACAGAAGUAAUUUUAUAUAUAUAUAUAUAUGGGACUUUAUUAAGUAGUAUUAACUCACAUGAACACAAGAUCCCACAAUAGGCCAUCGGCAAGCUGGGGAGCAAGGAGAGUCAGUCCAACUCCCAAAGCUGAAGAACUUGGAGUCCAAUGUUCAAGGGCAGGAAGCAUCCAGCACAGGAGAAGGAUGUAGGCUGGGAGGCUAAGCCGGUCUAGCCUCUUCACAUUUUUCCGCCUGGUUUAUAUCCUGGCUGUGCUGGCAGCUGAUUAGAUGGUACCCACCCAGAUUAAGUGUGGGUCUGCCUUUCCCAGCCCACUGACUCAAAUGUUAAUCUCCUUUGGCAACACCCUCACAGACACACCCAGGAUCAAUACUUUGCAUCCUUCAAUCCAAUCAAGUUGACACUCAAUAUUAACCAUCACAAAUGGAGAGAAGCAUGCACUUCGUGUCUUUAUCAAAAUGGAAAGAUGGUCACAAUAUUUUAAGUGACUAUCAUAGAUUGAAAAAUGUUAGAGACAGUUUAUUAGCACUCCUGGAGUAGUUUAAUGGUUACCCUCCCAAUACCAUUCUGCCUCCUUUGAUUUGACUAUGUUAAAAAUAUGUUCAAUUCGCCGGGCACAGUGGCUCACGCCUGUAAUCCCAGC